ACGUCCGAGUUCACAAGGAACUCGGCAACAGCUGGCUCGAGCAUGUCGUAUGCCUUCUUAAGGUAAGGGAACAUGUUAUGCGGCAGCUCGGAGGUCGACUCGGCAGAGUCGGGGAGGCCAUGGACCCGAGGCAAGGGAAGCUCAACGAGGGUUAUCGAGGGAGGGAGGUUCUGGGGGAGGUUCUGGAGGUUUUUCAAGGUGGAGAUGAAGGAGAUGCGAUGACCCUUUCGAGCUAAGAAGGUGGCGACCUCGAGGAAGGGCAUGAGGUGGCCGUAAGCGAGCCAUGGGAACAUCGCAACGUGGAGCUUCUCUUUUUCCAUGGUGGUUUGUGGAAGGAAGUCGAAGUGGAGAGAGAAAUUUUAAAAGAGAAACCAGCUGGCGAUGGAACGCGCACGUGCCUCUAAUCGGCGCACGUGCCGGGAGAGAAUGAGAUUAGUCUCCUUCGCUACACGUGCGAUUUUUUUUGCAAGGAAAUGGCAUUGUAACGUAAGAGCGAAUGUUUGUUAUACGCAAAAGAAGAAAGCAAAAGUCUUAGGCUCCCAUUUAUUUAGCCGAAAACUAAUUCUAAAAAAAUAUUUUCUAGAUUUUUUGAUAUUCAUUCCACGGAAAAUGAAUUGAUCAGGAAAAAUAUUUUCUAUUAAUGAAAAAAAGAUUUAUAAGAUAGGAAAAACAUUUUCCACUUUUCGAGUAGGGAAAACAUUUUCAAUCGGAAAACAUUUUCCACACUCACUCUCUCUUAUCUCACACUUCUGCUGGCUCCCUCUUCUUUCUUUGUUUUUUUUUUUCCCUUCUGUUUCAACCUGUUGCCGAACACUAUGACCGUCAGCAACCAACCAUAGGCUAGCUUGAGCUGGUUGCUUGCCAGAUUAGAGAGCGUGAGCCUCUGGUGAGGCUUGAGUACUCAAGCUCACCUUUGGCCGAUCAUCGAGUGUCAGCAUGGUUGGCAACUAACUGAAGGGGUUGGCGAUUGGUCCAAGAAGAAGGAGGUAAAGAAAAAAUAAAAGGAAAAAAAAUAAGUUAAGAAAAUUAAAAUUUUGAUUUUUCUUUCUAAAAUAAAGAAAAUUAUCUAAAGGAAUACACGGAGGAAAAUCAAAUCAAAUUUUUCAUACCAAGUAGUGAAAAAUAUUUUCCUAGUUCAUUUUCAAGUUUCAACCGAAUAUUAGAAAAUAUUGUCAUUUUUCUGAAAAAUGACUUCCAAAAAAAUAAUUUCCAAAAAUACUAUAUUUUUAAUAAAACGAACGGAGUUUAAGUCUUGAGUGACCGUAAAAAAUGGCUCAUUUCAUGAUAACUUGAAUGUCUUAAAAAUAAGAACUCACCUCCCUAGGAAAAUCGAUUGAUGUACUAACACAAGUAGUUCGAGAAUGCCUUGGUCUUUAGAUAUUUGAGUCGAACGGUUUCCACAUUUGUGCCUUUUCAAUAACAACUAUCCAUUUAGAAAUCGCCUCGAUGGAAGGCAGUUAAGGGCACAACAAGGUCUACGUCAAACCUUAUGUUUGGAAAAUAUACCAUAAAUACAUGAUGGGAUUGUGUUAGUAGAGUGUGCCCAUAAUAGCCAUUGAACCUCCGCGCGUUUCUAUUGCAUGCAAACUUGAAUAAUGGGUGGGGGUUAGAUUUAUUUUACGUCAUGUUUUCCACACACGAUUCUAAUUCAUACUUGAAUCCUGUUCUUCAAUGCAUGAUUAGAUUAGUUUGUUUUUGUCAUACACGGCCCAUAUCUAAUUGAUAGGACCCGGUGUUGCCCCUUAAUGGCAAUAAUAAUCGAGGAUGGCGUCUCAAAUGAGUUUGGCCCCAUUCUAGGACCACAAGUUCAAUGACUCAAGGCUCUGCCCCUUUCAAGUGCCCGAGUGUGCUCAUCCACAUACUCGAAUUGCAACUUCAUGUUGCCAAGUAUCUCCCUCACGGCCCAUGCACUCGUCCUCGGCUCCUCUGACCCCCCUAAUCGUACCGGCUACCAAGUCACUAGUGAGUGGCCCCUCUCAUUCAUCCAUUAGCACCUCUUAUUCGACCCGCAUCUCAUCCAUCAGUCUCGCCAUCAACCGUUGGUCUGAGCUCCCAUAGUAAACAAGAUCGGCGCCUGGCCCUCCCUGGGUGCCUCUACAACCAAGCUCCAACGCGACGAUGCGCCAAGAACCCGCUGAUCGACACCCAGACUUCCGGACCCAAAAGAGAUCAUGCCGGAGCAAGCCUUCUGCCCUACUCACCUGAACAGAGGGCAAACUUAAUUGCCCCAUUCCACUACCUGGCCAAGUUUGAGGAAACUGCGCAAUUGAUUUUUCAUUAAAAUCAGGACAUAAUCAGUCCCUUAUCAUCUUGGCAAGAAAGAACAUCAAGUUUUAGCUUGAGAAGUGAUUGGGUAACGGUUUUUAAUCUACUGUGAAAAUAACAGUUUAUUCUGCACCACAAAAAAUCAAAAUUCAAAUAAUUUUAUUCUUACGGUAGCACAAAAAGUGUUGAGCUAGCCAAUCUCUUUUAGCUUUACUCAUCUCCAGGAUUAUACAUAGUAAUUGAUCCAUAAUAUGCUAAGAGUGUGAGGGAGUCAGUAACACUAAAAUUGAAUUUCUUAUUUUCACGGCUUUACUUUUUUAUUGAUAGCAAGUCAUGGCAUAAGUGACUUCUUACUUUUCGUCUUUUAGUUUUUAGGGCUUUGUUAAUAUAACAAUUUUUGGUUAUUGUAAGAAUAAUAGUUAGUUAUGAGCCACAAAUUUUUAAAGGAGUGGGCUCCAUAUCAAUUUAUUAUUUAUUAUUUGAUUUUUUAAUCUAAAAUAGAUUGUUUUUCUCAAAGUAAAUUAAAGACUACCACUCGAUCAUUUUUCUAAUUUUGACUAAAAACUAGUAUUUUGAACCGUCCGAAGGGCUAUUCCACGAUUUGUCUUAUAGUUUUUUAGCGCUAACCAACUAGAGGGAAAUACACAAAACUUUAUAGGAUGAAUGUAUAAAUGGAUAACCAUAGUGAAAUAUCUACUUAUUGUACGAAGUCAUUUAUUUAAUUUCAAACCACACGAUUAUCUUGUCUUUUCCGUACGCGGGGGAACGCACACGGCCCCAUAUCCCAUGUGCUCCCAACUAAGCUAACAUGAUCUGAGGAGGGAGCUUCUCCAGAUAGAAGGUGGCGACAUCGAGGAAGGGCAUGAGGUGGCCGUAAGCAAGCCAUGGGAACAUCGGUACGUGAAGCUUCUUCUCUUCGUUUUCCAUGGCAGUGGCUGUGAACACUACUUUUUCAUUUGACGUGUGUGGUGGUGAUGUGACUAGCGAGUGAAUUCGAAUGCAAUGGAGAAUGAGCUCUCUCUUCAUAUAUAUAUAUAUAUAUAAAAGAACUACGUAUGGUGCUUUAAAAUUCUAAUUAAUAUUGGCAUAAAUUAACUUGCGUUUAGAUGUUUAUAACUUAUUACAUGAGACUAAAGACUCCAUUCGUUUUGUGAAAAAGGUUUUUCUGAAAAACAUUUUCUGGAUUUUUCGGUAUUUGUUUCAUGGAAAAAAAACUAUAUACAUAAUCCAACAUGCCAAUAUUUGAAUUUUUUUUUUAAGGCAAGAAAGGAGUUGAAUUAAUAACGAUAUGUGAUUUAUGCAAUAUUAGUAAAGUCAAAAGUAGAGGUGGCUGCAGCCAAGGUAGCUAAUAAUUAUCUUUGAGAUUUCAUAUCUUCUCUUCAUGUGCAUUGACUUAGAUGAUUCAAGGGAGAGAAGUAACUUCUUAUUCUGUUAAACUUUUGAUGUACCAAAACAAAUAUCACACGAGAUAAACUAUCAAGAAACAAUUUAUGACCAGCUGAAAAGAUUUAGGUACUUUACUUUCCAAUUGAGGAGGGAAUAUCAUUAAUAUAAAUUGAGUGUUAUAUUUCUGUUUAGAUAAACUAUCUAAGUCAAAUAGAGUGAAUUUAGAGUUUUUUCAUUCCUAAGCAUUUGGAUUUUAUGAAUGAAUGGUGGAUAUAACUAAUAUUAUAUAGUGCAUAAAUUUGUAUAAUUUUGUUAAAAAAUUUUAGGCCCUGUUUGAUAAUCGGCCAAGCAGUGACUAUUUCUAUUCUUUUGUUACUCUGAACAAAAAAGAAACAAAAAUUUGUUUGUUAAUGUCAGUUAAUUUUUUUGUUCUUCGGAAUAAAUUUAGAAUAGAAUCAAGAAAAAAAAAGUUGCUUCUUUAUUCUUAGAUACAAUUCGAGAAUCAAGUAAUUUUCUUUAUUUUCUUCCAUUUCUUUUAUUCUUUUCUUUUUCUUAUUCCUCCUCCGCAACGCGGUGGUCGGGCUCCCUUGAGGCUAGCGAGGUAAUUGAUUCUAGUUUGGCUGGAGAUAAGCUAAAGGAAGAAGAAGAGGAGGAAAAAAAGAAAAGAAAAAAAUUGAGAAAAUAUAAUAAAAUUAUUAAAAAAAUUAAAAAAAUUCUAGGUUACAAAAAAAUUGAGAAUUGUAUAAACGCAUUUUUAUUUCGAAAAUAAAAAUUUAUAAUUACUAAAGAAUUUCAAAUACUCAAAAAACUUAUCCUGGAAAUAGAAUAAAAAAAAUUUUGAGUAGAAAUUAUCCUCAUAAAUAGAAUAAUUACUAAAUAGGUCUUUAGUGGAACUUGAGGUGAAUCCGAUGAAUUUUGGAAAAAUUAAUUUACUUGAUCUAAUAAAGAAGCUCUAAUUUGAGGGCAGCGACGCGAGCUUGUUUAGCAACACGCAUUUGUUCAGUGUUAUCAGCCAUUGUUGCCCUAGAACGAGUACGGAUUGGCAAUCUUGGGUGAGCCAUGUUGUUACCUAUCAAUGUAAAAAAAUACAGUAAGCAUGAUAACAAAUGAGAUUGAUCCAUGACAACGGUCACUCGUUUAUUUUAUUAAGUGAAAUCAAAUUCCAAAGACAUCAACUUAAAACGUUAAAAUAACUCCCUAGGAAAUUAAAUUCCUAAAACAUCAAUCUAAGAAAUUGAAAUAACACCUUAAAGCCAGAACUAAACUCCUAAAUCUAGCGACUCUUUUCCAUAUACAAUUGGGAGAUCACAGUAGUUUGAAGCUUCUUGUUCUGCCAAACCAACUUUGAGAUUCGAGCCUCCUUCCUUUCCACCGUUUCUUCAAGACGUUCAAUUUGUGCUUUACGAGUGGGCUUCAUGGUCACUUCAGGUAUCACGGGAAGUAGAGCUUGAGGGAUCUCAUGAUGGUGGAUAUAAUAAUCCGAGGCAUGAAAAACCCUCUCUUUUCCUUUCAAUCUUCUAGGCACCACUAUUUUUUCCGGAUGGCAUUCCUUCCAUGCAUUUUCAAGACGCUCGAUCUCAUUGAGGUAUUUGUGAUCCUUGCGCACGAAGCGGGCUUGAAACAGAUCCACUCGGAGAGGAGGUGGGAUAUCUUGGAGUACUCGAUACUGGCGGGCCGCUCUAUAAGGAUAGAAAGAUGUUACACCAAUAAUUCCCAUAAGUGGAAUUGGAUUAUCUGUCUUGCAAGAGAAACGAGCCACGCUAACAUGGAACCAUUUAGCAUACCAUAGGAAGCUCAUGAGAUCUGGAUCUUUAAGAAAAGUCACCCAAUAGAAAAAUGAUUUUCUAGUAUACUUUUUCUCUAAGAUUGAAAAUCUCUUUAUUGGGUAACUAGAAUCAUCAAUUUCACCUCGAUGCAUGUGUCGCAACCUCUUUUUUUUCGGCGUCUGCAAUCGGGUACGGGCGCCUAAGGAGGCUAAUGGCUCGGCUGAAAUUAAUUAUGCCCGGACUCUCCCAAGUCCACCAAUUCACGACUUUAAUAGUUUGAGUUUUUAACCUGUAAAUCAAAUUUUAAAUUGGAGUCGCCACUAAUCGAUUUGGGGUGGGUUGAUUAGAAACCCAAGUGAAGUAUCGGGAGAAAUACUCACUCCUGCGCAACCAGAGAAAUUAGGAUCGGGGACUUGAUUACACUAGUUAAUCACUAAUGCCAUUUCGGUACCUAAUCUUGUUUAAAUCCUGAGGUUUUUUGGAUGUUCGAGGGGUUUUCCAUGCAUUUUUGGGAGGAAAAACAUUUUUUGAGUCAUUUUCUAAUUUUUUGGACACAAAAGGGAUUUUUUGGGGUUUUUUGGUAUUUUUUUUGGAAAAAUACAAGUCUUUUUGGUUUUUUCUGAAUUUUUUGGCUUUUUCAUGAAUUUUUGGCUUUUUUUUGGAUUUUUGGCAUUUUUUGGAAAAUAUGAAAUAUUUUUGAUAUUUUUGAUUUUUCGAAAAAUAAAUAUUUUUAAUAUAUUUUUUCGAUUUUUUUUUGGAAAUUAAAACAUUUUUCGGUUUUCUAGAAAUUAAAAUAUUUUUAAUAUUUUUUUAUAAAUAAAUUAUUUUUGAUUUUUUCUUUUUUAUUAAAAUAUUACAUAAUAUAAUAUAAAAAAAGCCAACCCGGUUUGGAUCCGCUGCUUGGGUCCGACCUGGGUCGGCCCAAAACGCAGACGGGCCUGCUACGCGGGCCUGACUUUUUUUUUUUUUUUUCAAAAACGACGUCGUGGCCGGGCGUUUGGGGACGCUCGGCCCGGCCCGACGACCUGGAUCCAUUGACCCGCUCUGCGACCCGGCUACCUGCGAACCCUACCCGACCCAGAUCCGAAUCGUGACCCGACUCCCGCCGCCCCUCGAAUCUCGCGAAACCCUACCCGGUUCCGAGACCCGGAUCCGACUCGGCGACCCGGAAAAAUCGCAAACCCUAGGGUUUGCGAAUCCGUGGCGCCGAGGGGGGGAACCGAGGUGCUUGGCGGCGACGGCGACUACGGCGGUGACGACGAAGACGAUGGGAACCACGACGACAGCGACGCCGACAGAAUGGGGGUGCGAUGGGCGGCAGGGACGGCAGCAACGGUUUUUACCUUUUCUCGAACGGAGGCGAUGACGGCGACGACAGGAGUUGAUCUGCGAUGGUGGCGGCCGCGGCGAGGGCAGACUGAUGGCGGCGACCGUGGCGGAUGACGACGGCGUCAGCGAGGCUUGGGCUCCGUCGAUUUGAUUGGGGCUCUCUCUCUCGGGCUCGGGCUCGCUCUUUGAGCUUUGGAGGAGAGGCAGCUCGAGGGGGACAGUAGCAGCAGAUGGCGUUGGGAUCUCAGUCGGGGCGAACAGCGGUGGCAUAGCGUCCGGCAGCAACAGCAACAGCUAAAAAAGACUAGAUCUGAGGCGCAGAUCUCGCGAAACCCUACCCUCGGCCUCAAUCUUCUCUCACUCAGGCCAGAUCCGAGCCUCCACCAGCCGGAUCUGACCUUCUCGAGGUCGCUUGCCGCCUGCCUUCCCCGAAGUCUCUCGGUGGAAGGUGGGCUGAGCUCGCGACUCGAGCUCUCUCCUGCGCUUGCCCUUCAACCCUUCCCGAUGUCUCUCAGUGAAGGAUCUCCGAGCUCGCCACGCCCUCCGACGAUGCUUGCGGCCACCUAUUUAUAGGCGAAGGAACUCCGGUCGACGGAGGGGCUCGGUCGCUGGCCUCCGGCUUGCCCACCGGUUCCGCUUGGCUGAACCGGUGUCCCAUCGAGCUUUCCAGCGAAGCUCGCUCACCAUUAAUGGCGCCUGCGAUCUUAUCCCCUCCGGCCAACGUCGGCCUACACUCCUCGGCCGUAGGCCGUCCUUCGCGUGUUGGCCUCCCUCGCGCGCGUGAGUUGCAGCGGCGAAGGAAAGGGAAGGAGGAAGAAGAAGAGAGAAAGGGGCCGGGCCGGGGGGUGAAGGAAAAUGGGCCGUAGGGGCCACGCGGAGGGAGAAGAGAAGGAGAAAAAGAUGGGCUGGGCUUUUGCUUUGCUUUUGUUUUGUUUAUUAUUAUUUACUAUCUGAAAAAGACAAAUAAAUGUAAAAAAAAAAAAACCUAAUUAAUUAAAAAUGAAAUUUAGGUGUCAACAGCAUGAAAUGACCAAACUCCUUCAUGUGAGAAAGAAACCAAAUUUGUAAAAGUUUAGGAGAGGCAUUCAUGAUUUUUUCUCCAUUUUGUUUAAAACGGUUGAUGGACAAAAAUGUCUCAGCCAAAAUCAUGUUUAUAAAGUUCAUGCCAGCGCAUGCUUGUCUGACCACCCGUGCAAUUGAAGGAUUAAUGGCAUUUUGUCGAUGAGGAAAGAUUAUAAAUCCAAAGAAUGCUAAGAUGAAUAUCCUACCCUUUGGCGCAUUGAAGAUUGAUUUAAAAAAUGAUCAGCCAAAAAGGAGAAUGGGCAUGCGUUACAAUUAGCUUUCAAAACUUUCUUAACCUCAUCAGUUUUAAUUCUUAGAAAUUGAGAUAAAAUCGAUGUGCGCUCCAUACCAAGAGGUGGCCUAACAAGUUCAGUCUCAAUGGGCAUUCCUAUGAUAACGCUAUACUCUUCCAGUGUUGGAGUUAGCUCAUUUUUACCAAAAAUAAAUGUAGCCGUCUCGAGACACCAAAAGUGUGAUAUAGUUUGCAAAACACCACUAUGGACUCCAAUAUCCAAAAGGGGGAUGAGCCGUCCCAGUAUCGACUCCACAUAAUCCUGACCUUCUUUACUUAAUUUGCCCUCUGAGCUCAAUCUUGGGAGUUGUAAUGAAUUGAACAUUGGAUCUCCCCAUUGUAUAUAGAUUAAAACUCACGAUCGACCUUUUGUCAUGGACCAAAAGAAAGUGCAAUAAAGUAAAUAAAUUGCAUAUUAUAAGGUAAGAAUACUUACUUCACAAAAAAAAAAAAAAUGGCAACCACAUUGACAGGCGCAUGAGAUGUGAGGCUUAACACCUAAACUACAAGGCUUAGCAAGUUAGAGCUAAGAGGAUGGGCCGACUAGUCACAGUCUUGAGUAUAAAUGUCAGGUCCUCUUAACUAUGGCUCAGUCAAAAGAAAAUCCCAUGGUCGCAUAGUUUUGCGAACAAGGAUAAACGUUUUGACACCAAGAAAAAUUUUCGGGGUUGAGAAAGGUAACCUUUACAUUGCGGUCUCGCGUUCAAGGUUGAUUCAUUUCUCAACACCAUCCUAGAAUCCUUAAAUGCGGUCCAGGUCCGACGGCAGGUUGUGUGUGCAAUGUGUAGUGCUAAAACAAUUUGAAAAUCAUAAACAACAAUUUAUAAUGCAAGCAACACUUCAAUAUAUAAGAAAAACAUUCAAUCCCAACACCUUCCUACAAAACAAAGAGUCAACAAGCACUGCUCCCCUUAUACCUCAUUUCUGUAAAAAUAUUUAACACUUUAUGUUAGGAGCGUACCUUGUUUCCAUGCUGUCAAACAAAAUAUUUAAAAAAAAAGAAAAAAAAGAAACAGGCCUAUGUCCACUAUGAGUUUUAACUCUCCUUAGUGGAGUCGUCAAGCUGUCACGACGUCCUCAAGGGUGAAUUACUUAAAGAAAGCUAAUGGAUUACUAAGUCUGAAGAUUUGGCGCGGACCCUCCUAAGUCCUACCAAUCGCAACUUGAUACUAAUGAAUUAACCCAUUUAAUCAUGCAAUUAUACUCAAUUUGGAGCCGCCACUAACCAAUUAGGUUUGGUUAGAAACCCAAGUAAAAUAUGGGAGAAUAUUUUACUUUUACGAACCAGAGAUUCAAUAGGUCUAAGGACAUGGUUACGCCAAAAAAAUCUAACGCCCUUUCGGUACCUUGUCAUUUUCAUUUCAAAAAUAUUUUGCAGGCAGUCUUGAUUAAUUUUAACCUAAGCUACUAACAUGCUAAGGAUGGUCAUGCAGGUGCACAAUUAAUGAAAUAACAUUCAAUAAACCGAAGUGAUAAAUUGUAAGAAAUUAUAAACUACAACUUGAUUAAGGUCCACUCUCUAAAGAAAAACUUACAAAAAUGCUAAUCAAAAUACAUGCCCUAAACAUGAUAUCUAAUUUUUUAUUUUUCUCCUUUUUUUAAUAUUAUUAAAUGUAAACUUAAUUUAGAUUUGACAUGCAUGAAUUUUACUUUAAUGAUAUGUGAGAUGCAAUUCAUGUGUCAUAACUUGAACUAUCACUAUAUGUAUGCAAUCUAAUUUACAUAACCCUAAAUAUGCAUGUGCUAUAUGAUAUGGGAUGUAUGACGUGGUAAUUCCAUAUGCAUGUUCUUUUUAUGAUUUUUUAAUGAUUUUUUUUAUUACACAUAUGCAACCUGCACUAACAAUGAUGAUAUGAAAUGGGAUUAAUUAUAAACUAACCUAUUAACUAAACAAAUAAAUGACUUUUGUAUUUUCUUUUUGACAAUAUAAUGAUGCAAUACCAAUCUUUGGCCUUUUUUUUUAUUAUUAAAAACAACUACACACGGGAAUAUUAAAACAUUAGCCUAUGACCCACUAACUAAAGCGCAACGUGUGGUGUGCACAUUAUGAAAUCUAUAUAACCUAAAUAACAUUUUUUAUUUUUUAUUUUUGUUUUGAUUUUAUUAAAGGAAAAUUAUCCUAAUUCUAUAUGAAUCUUAAAAAUUAAAAUGCGUUGCUUUAAACAUGAGAUAUGUGUGGACUUAAAUACCUAAGUUCUAUAAUUCAUGAUAUAUGAUGAGCAAAUAACGAUGACAUGCCAAAAUAAAAAGAAAAAAAAUCCAUCCAUGUAAAUCAAUGGCAUAUUAUUUUAAUAUGAAUCAAUGAUGCAAAGCAAUUCAUGAAUUUUGCCAUAAAAAGUCGAAAUAAUAAAAAAUCUAACCUGACGUCUCGCGGCUCAAUAUUUUUGAUUAUCAUGACUUAAUAUGACCAAUUUCCUAAAUCGGGUAAUGAUAAUAAAUCAAAACAAAUCAAGUUAGAAUAAAAAGAAAACUAUGAGUCCAAAUACUCAAAAUAAACUUAAUCUAAAAAUCUACCUAGUCUACCUCACGAUUAACUUGAGGAAUGUCGAAGAAACAGUGGUGGCCGAGCUGCGAUGGUGGUUCGGUAAUGGGUCGCCGCUCGAAACAGGGGUUGUUCAUCAGAACUCCGGCGAGGCUCGGGUGAUAACUGGACUUGCAACAAAAACAGGGGAGGCAGCAGGUGGCUCUAUUCGGGUGUGCAGCAGCGAGCAGAGGAGCAGCAACGUCAGGCGCAAGGCUGUGGCGUGAGCGGAGCGGGUUGCAGCUCGGCGAAGCUUCAGGUCGGCGUCGGGACUCCGGUGAAGGCAAGCGGUGGCACGGCGAGCGUCGGUGGAUGGCGAGUGGAGCGGUGAGGUGCGCUGCGGGCGUCGGGCGCGCAGUAGCUCGGACCACCAGCGAUGGGCGUCGCGGGCAGAGGAUUCCAGGUGCAGGCGUCGGCUGAGUGGAGACGGGCGUCGGUGCUCAAGCAGAGGCACCGAAUUCUGGUGUUGCUGUAGUCGGUCAAGUGGUGUUGCUUGGUUGCAGUGCUCAAAGGGGGGAAUCGCCUGGAUCGGCGUCGGGCCGUGGGCGUCGUCGGCGAAGGGCACGUCGGAGGCAGAGUAGCGCAGGAGGUCUGGGCGCUGCAACGGACGAACCAUCGAGGAAGAAGAACAAUUUUAUUCUUUCCUCCCCUUUUUUUUAAUUUUUCUAUCACCUGACACUCUCUCUCACCUGUCUCUUUCACUCUCUGUCGAACCCUCCCCCACUCUCACCUUUUUUGACUUUUCUCUCACAAAAACUCUAUCCCCUUGUGUGAAUACUUCGAAGACUCAUCCCAAAAGUCCCCCAUUAAACCUCACCAUAGUUUGCCAAAUUCUCUCACCAUGAAAACACACAAACACUUUUCGCUAAUUUCUUCAGCCCUCCCUUGGUUCCGAAACAUCACCUUCUUUUUUAUAGAGGAAAGACUCGAAGUUGUUGAAGAUUUCCCAAUAUUCACUCAACUUCUUCAACAAAAAAGUUGCUCCAAAAUCACAUGUGUUGAAUUUUUUUGAAUUCAAUUUUUUUUUUCAAGAUUUCCCUCUAUAAUUAAAGAUUAUCUUCUAUUUCUAAGAGAUGAGUUUACAUUAGGUGUCAACAAAUGACAGCCACAUUGGCUUUAAACAGGUCAUUACACAAGUACCAUUUUCCGACAUACAUCCCUCUUUUCGAAAGUACAAACUUGUCAGAUUCAAAUACAAUUUUGAAACCUUUCUUAACAAGUAUGGGGCCAGAGUUUAGGUUUUUCCGAAUCUCUAGUACAUGCAGCACAUUCAGCAGGGCAACCUCCUUACCAGAUGUAAACUUCAGGAUCACUUUUCCUCUUUUAACAAUCUUUGCUGAUGCAGAGUUAGCCAUAUAAAGCUUUUCAUCUUCUUCAGCCUUCUCAUAAGAUGAGAACAUGUGUUUAUCUGCACAGAUGUGAUUUGUGGCACAUGUGUCUAGCCACCGACCAUUAGUGUUCGACACUAGAGAUGCUUCAAAUAUUACCACAACAGACAAUCUCUCAAUAUUGUCAUGUUCUGUCAAAAUUUAGUUGCUGGGCUGCACCAUCGUUUUUGACUUUUUUUGGGCAGUUCUUGCAAUCCUUAGCACGAUGGCCAGGCUUGUUGCAUAUAAAACACGUCCCUUGAAAUUUCUGGAACUGUUCCUUCUGCUUGCCUUUUCUUUGAAAAAACAUCUUCAUUUUUCUAUCUUGCUUGGAUUUGGAAGAUUGCACAACGUUGGCCUUUAGCUCAGAAGAAGGGUUAGCACUCCUUCUAUUGUCCUCCUUGAUUCUAAGGCACAUAAUGAGAUCUUCAAGACUCAUCUCUUUCCGUUUGUGCUUCAAAUAAUUUUUGAAGUCUGAUCAACUCGAAGGCAGUUUCUCAAUCAUAGCCACCACUUGGAAUGAUUCACUAAGUAUCAUUCCCUCAGCAGAGAUGUCACUUAGAAUUAGUUGUAAUUCUUGAAUCUGACUCAUGACAGAUUUAGAAUCCACCAUCUUGUAGUCCAAGAAUUUGACAACCACAAAUUUCUUAGUGCCAGCAUCCUCAGUGUUGUAUUUCUUCUCUAAGGACUCCUAUAACUGUUUAGCAGAUUCAAUAUUACAAUAAACAUUAUAAAGAAAAUUCACUAAACAGUUAAGGAUGUAAUUUCGGCAUAAGAAAUCUCCAUGCUUCCAAGCCUCCAAUGCACCGAGCGUCAUGACAUCGUGCUCAUCUAGACUAAUUACAAGGCACACCUCCGAUAAAUACUUCGUCAGAUUUAGCAUAGUCAGAUAGAAGAACAUCUUCUGUUGCCAUUGUUUAAAGCCCACUCUGGUGAAUUUCUCCGGUUUCUCAUUAGUUGUAACUAGAGGUGUUGCCAUCACAGUAGGCAAAGUUUGUUGAACUAUCCCCUAUAAACGGAGCCAAAAGCCAUUUGGCUUGUACUAUUCUGAAAAAAAAGCCCCACGCAAACCAGUCGUAUGACUUGUACCCACACCACCAAAAUUGGUGUUGGCCUAAGGGCCCGUAGCAUUGGUUGCUACAAAUUCAAACCCUGAGGGUUGAACAUCUUCCAUAGAAAAGGUCGAAUCAACCAUAGGAAUGUCUCUUGAAACAUUCGGGACAUUGAAGGGCACAUAAUUGUUUUCAAUCAUCUCAAUAAUUUGACAAGAACAACAAACAAUGAGUGAUCUAAUCGCCUUAAAAUUGUUGGAAAUCAAUCCAGAGAAACCAAAUUGUUUGUUAUAAUCAGAACAGCAAUGUAAAGAAGAUGAUAGCAACUUUAUAAUAUUCUUCAUUUUACAAAUCUUGGAGAAGAAGAAAAUAAGAUAAAACAUAAAAUUGAAGGUGAGGUAUGGAUAUCCGAAUCUCCUUAAGGCGAUUAAUUCCUGCCAAUGGUGCUCUGUAGAUUCACGAACUAUGCCUCCCAAGAUAUAAUACAUCAAACCUGUUUGGAUUAGCACUAUGCAAACAAGGCUCAGUCGAACCGUUCAAUUGAACCAGCGUACCCAGAAAAAUCAAAAGAGUAGAAAAUGAUACCAAAGCUCUUUAAGAAUCGAAUUGGGAAAACCAAAAAACCCAAAAACUCUAUUGAAGCUUUAUGCUCCCAUCUAUUUAUAGAGAUUUUUAGUUCAUGUAAAGAAGAGAUACAUGAAUUAAAUAGACGAAUGUAUUCACGAAAUUCAUGAAUCAAGAGAUACGUGAAUCCAAGAGAUUCAUGAAUCCAGAGACACGUGAAUUUAAGAGAUUCGUGAACUCAAUAAAUACAUGAAUCUAGGAAAUUCAUAAAUUCAAUAGAUACGUGAACAUAAAAGUUUAGGAAAUUUAUGAAUUCAAUAGAUAUGUGAACAGAAAAGACGUAUCUUAAUUUAUUGGCUUUCGUUGAUCCAUUAACCAUUUAUGACAUCUACAACCAAGCUCCAACGCGACGACGUGCCAAGAACCCGGCGAUCGACUUUGCCCAACGAAUGUUUAAUCUUGAAAGACUCAACGCCAUAUCUUUUCUUUUUCUUUUUUGGUUUCUUUUCGUUGGGCAAAUUUUUCUUCUAUUCUCUAGAAUGGAUAUUGAAAGAACGAUGUGAUUCUUUUUCCAAAUAUACUAAUCUUCUAACUCAUCACUUCCCGUAAGUCAAUUUUCAACCAUCAAAGAAUAAUAGGCUUGGGCCAAUUUAUUUUCUCCGUGGGCUUAGUCCAACUUGUCAAAUUAAAAAUGAGAACCAUUUAUUAAAACUCAUCCAUCCUGGCCCAAUGCAAAUACAAUAAUAAAAAAUAAAUGCUCUUAAAAAUAUAUGCUAUGCAACUUAAUUCUCAUAUUUUUGUUUAGUGGUUAAAAAUUAAUCCUUAAUUUUUUAUGCGAUAAAUGAAUGAUUGGAUUGCUAAAAUUUAUAUAUUAACAUCACUCUUGCAUCUAUGCCUUUGGUGAAUUUCAUGAAGGAGAUAAUUUCGAGUAGGAUUUCUACAUUAUCAUUUUUAUCGGUAGUUUAUACAAAUCAUCGAUAGUGCAUUAAUUGUAAUAUUUUCCUACCUUAAAAAAAAUCUUCGCGUUGUUGAAGAAGAUGGAUUGACGAGAAAUAUCUCUGUUGGCAAUAGAAAAUGUUUAGGCAUAAUUAGUUAUGAUGAUACAAACAUUUUCAACUGACUAAUAUUUCUGCUCGUUAAUAAUGAUCUUUUAUUUUUUAGGAAAAUAUUUAUCAAAUUAUGCAACUUGUCACAUAGUGCAAUCGGCUUGAUCUAAUGCAGUGAGCCUAUGCAACACUUCCUAGACAAAAAAAAAUUCUGCAAUUGGUCGCAUAAUGCAAUUGACUUAAUCUGAUCAAGUGAGCCACAACAUUUGCUAGGAAAAAAAAAAAAAAAACUCAUGGUUGGGUUCAUAGUAGUGUAAUGAACCCAUUCUCCCACAUUUCUUUAGAAUAAUAGUUUGAGAAUGCCUAGUUUGGUUGGGUUUUCCCAAGGGGCUUUGAGCCCUCAAAGCCCCUUGGGGAAAUUUUUUUGUGUUUGGCAAGUGUUUUUGAAUACUCAUUUGCCAAAUGUGGGCAUUCUCAAUGCUGAAAGCCAAAUGCUGGGAAGUGGUGCUUUGGGCAUUAGGCAUUUUGGAAAUGCAACGUGUCACUGUUCAUCGUCUCUCCCCCUUCAUCUUCUUCUCUACCCUUUUCAAGUGCUCGAGCGAACUCCUCCAAAUAUUUCAAUUGCGACUCCACGUUACCAAAUAUCUCCCGCAUGGCCCAUGCGUUCGCCCUCACUUCCUCUCCCUCUGGCUCUACCAUGACCCACUUUAUCGUCUCGGCGACCGAGUCACUCGUGAACGACCCAUCCCGGCUGUCCCUUGGCACUUCCGACCCAACCCGCCUCUCGUCCAUUAGCCUCGCCAUCAGCCCUUGGUCGGAGCUCCCCCCAGAAAAUAGGAUCAGUGCCCGGCCUUGCCCGAGUGCCUCUAUGACCGAGCUCCACCCGCAGUGCGUCAAGAACCCGCCAAUCGACGGGUGGGCCAGGAUGUCGAGUUGAGGAGCCCAGCCCACCCAGACGAGGCCUCGACCUGAGACCCGGCUUUCAAACCCAGAAGGGAUACUGCUGGGGCCAGCCUUUCGGCUUAUCACCCAGACGAAGGGCAAACCUGACUUUUCAAUCCCACGUGCCAGCUCGUGCAUUAACUCUUGACUCAAAGCCACCUCGGUGCCAAGGGCGACGUAGAACACUGACUUCCCUUCCUUACCAUCCAACCAUUGCUUGAGCUCGCUCCAUCUCCCGUCUCCUUCGUGGCGGCUUUUAUUCUGGGGUGACAAAAGCCCCAUCGGAACCACGGGUCUUGCGUAAAACUUCUUGAGUAGACUCAACGGCUCGGCCUCGAACUCGCUACAGGUCCUUAUGGCCACGAUAUCGCAUCCCUGUAUCGACCUGCCAAACCUUUCGAAAACCGACAUGUUAGAUUUAGGGUCCACGAAAUCCUCUUCGUUGAGCACCUCAUGAAGCCUAAACGCGAUUUUAGUUGGGUAAGUAACCCACUGGGGAACGACCGUCAAGUCCUCUGCCGUCUUGGCUCGGGCUUGAUUGUCAAUCAGAAGAGAUGGCGGGCCAAUGAAGGCGAGGAUGCUGGCGUUGAAUAUGCUGAAGAACACCGAUUUAACACCGAGUUGUCUCGCCUUUUGGGGUAACCAGAAAGACAUGAAGUCUUGGAUCACCCAGUUGACGUCCGAGUUCACAAGGAACUCGGCAACAGCUGGCUCGAGCAUGUCGUAUGCCUUCUUAAGGUAAGGGACCAUGUUUUGCAGCAGCUCGGAGGUCGACUCGGCAGAGUCGGGGAGGCCAUGGACGCGAGGCAAGGGAAGCUCAACGAGGGUUAUCGAGGAAGGGAGGUUCGCGGGGAGCUUUUGGAGGUUUUUCGGGGUGGAGAUGAAGGAGAUGCGAUGACCCUUUCGAGCUAAGAAGGUGGCGACCUCGAGGAAGGGCAUGAGGUGGCCGUAAGCGAGCCAUGGGAACAUCGCGACAUGGAGCUUCUCUUUGUUUUCCAUGGCAGUGUGUGGAAGGAAGACGAAGUGGAGAGAGACUUUAAAAGAGAAACCAGCUUGCGGUGGAGCGCGCACGUGCCUCUACUCGGUGCACGUGCCGGGAGUGAAUGAGAUUAGUCUCCUUCGCUACACACGUGCGAUUUUGCAAGUAAAUAGCAUUGUAACACGAGAUCGAAUGUUUAUUAUACGCAAAAGAAGAAAGCAAAAGUCUUAGGCUCCCAUUUAUUUAGCCGAAAACUACUUCUAGAAAAAUAUUUUCUAGAUUUUUCAAUAUUCAUUUCACAGAAAAUGAAUUGAUCGGGAAAAAUAUUUUCUAUUAACGAAAAAAAGAUUUAUAAGAUAGGAAAAACAUUUUCCGCUUUCCAAGUAGGGAAAACAUUUUUAAGUGGAAAACAUUUUCCACACUCACUCUCUCUUUGUCUCACACCUCUACUGGCUCCCUCUUCUUUCUUUCUUUCUUUUUUUUUCCCCUUUUGUUUCAACUAGUUGCCGAACACUAUGACGGUCGGCAACCAACCAUAGGCUAGCUUGAGCUAGUUGCUUGCCAAAUUAGCAAGCGUGAGCCUCUGGUGAGGCUUGAGUACUCAAGCUCACCUUUGGCUGAUCACCAAGUGUCACCAUGGUUGGCAAUUGAUCGAAGGGGCUAGCGAUCGGCGAAGAAGAAGGAGGUAAAGAAAAUAUUAAAAAAAAUAUAAAAAGAAAAAAAUAAGUUAAGAAAGUUAAAAUUUUAAUUUUUUUUUAAAUAAAUAAAUAAAAUUAUCUAAAUGAAUGCACGGACGAAAAUCAAAUCAAAUUUUUCAUAUCGAGUGGAGAAAAAUAUUUUCCUAGUUCAUUUUCAAGUUUUAACCGAAUAUUAGAAAAUAUUGUUAUUUUUCUGAAAAAUGAUUUCCCAAAAAAUAAUUUCCAUAAAUAUAUAAUUUUUGUAAACGAACAGAGUUUAAGUCUUGAGUGACCGUAAGAAAGGGCUCACUUUGUGAUAACUUGAAUGUCUCAAAAAUAAGAACUCACCUCCUUUGGAAAAUCGAUUGAUGUACUAACACAAGUAGUUUGAGAAUGCCCUGGCCUUUAGAUAUUUGGGUCGGACGGUUUCCACAUUUGUGCCUUUUCAAUAACAACUAUCCAUUUAGAAAUCACCUCGAUGGAAGGUAGUUGAGGACCUAACAAGGUCUAAGUCAAACCUUUUAUUUGGAAAAUAUUCCAUCUGUACAUGAUGGGAUUGGGUUAGUAGAGUACGCCCAUAAUAGCCAUUGAAUCUCCGCGGGUUUCUAUUGCAUGCAAACUUGAAUAAUGGGUGGGGAUCAGAUUUAUUUUACGUCAUGUUUUACGCACACGAUUCUAAUUCAUACUUGAAUCCUGUUCUUCAAUGCAUGAUUAGGUUAGUUCGUUUUUGUCAUACAUGGCCCAUAUCUAAUUAAUGGACCGGUGUUGCCCCUUAAUGGCAAUAAUAAUUGAAGAUGGCGUCUCAAAUGAGUUUGGCCCCAUUCUAGGACCACGAGUUCAAUGACUCAAGGCUCUGCCCCUUUCAAGUGCCCGAGUGUGCUCAUCCACAUACUCGAAUUGCAACUUCAUGUUGCCAAGUAUCUCCCUCACGGCCCAUGCACUCGUCUUCGGCUCCUCUCCCUCUGGCUCCACUGACCCCCCCUAAUCGUCCCGGCUACCGAGUCACUAGUGAGUGGCCCCUCUCAUUCAUCCGUUAGCACCUCUUAUUUGACCCGCAUCUCAUCCAUCAGUCUCACCAUCAGCCGUUGGUCUAAGCUCCCAUAGUAAACAAGAUCGGCGCCUGGCCCUCCCUGAGUGCCUCUACAACCAACCUCCAACGCGACGACGCGCCAAGAACCCGCUGAUCGACACCCAGACUUCUGGACCCAAAAGAGAUUAUACCGGAGCAAGCUUUCUGCCCUACCCACCUGAACAGAGAGCAAACUUAACUGCCCCAUUUCACUGCCUGGCCAAGUUUGAGGAAACCGCGCAUUUGAUUUUUCAUUAAAAUCAGGGCAUAAUCGAUCCCUUAUCAUCUUGGCAAGAAAGAAUGAUCAAGUUUUAGCUUAAAAAGUGAUUGGGUAACAAUUUUUUUUUAUCUAUUAUGAAAAUAAUAAUCUGUUUUGCAUCACAAAAAAUCAAAUAACAAAUAAUUUUAUUCUUAUGGUAGCACAAAUUAAGCUAGCCAAUCCCUUUUAGCUUUACUCAUCCCCAAGUUUAUACAUAGCGAUUGAUCCAUAAUAUGCUAAGAGUGCGAGGGAGUUGGUAACACUAAAAUUGAAUUUCUUGCUUUUAGGUUUUUGCUAUUUUCUUGAUAGCAAGUUAUAUUACUUUUCAUGGCAGAAGUAAUUUCUUGCUUUUCGUAUUUUAGUUUCUAGAGCUUUGCUAAUAUAAGAGAAAAACAAUUAGUUAUGAGCCACAAAUUUUUAAAUGAGUGUGCUCCAUAUUAAUUUGUAAUUAUUUGUUAUUUGAUUUUUUUGUGAUCUAAAAUAGAUUAUUAUUCUCAAAGUAAGUUAAAAAUUGUUACCCACCUCAUUGGUGGUUACGUGGUUUGUGCUCAAUCUCUCUACUGGAAGGGAGCGAGUUCAAAUUUCUGCAUUUGCUUGUGCGACUAAACUACAGUUCGUGGGAGGUGGGUCCUCGCGGGUUGCCCCCGGUUUACGUCGCCGGCUGCCGGCUAUACGGCAGUUCCCGGUCAUAAAAAAAAAAAAAAAUUGUUACUCAAUCAAUUCCUUAGUUUUUACUAAAAACUAGUAUUUUGGCCUGUGUGAGGGGCUAUUCCACUAUUUAUCUUAUAAUUUUUUUAGCGCUAACCAACUGGAGGGAAAUACAUAAAACUUUAUAGGAUGUAUGUACAAACGGAUAACCAUAGUGAAAUAUCUGCUUAUUGUACGAAGUCGUUUAUUUAAUUUCAAACCACACGAUUUUCUUGUCUUUUCCAUACGCGGGGAACGAACAUGGCCCCAUCCCAUGUGCUACCAACUAAGCUAACAUGAUCUGAGGAGGGAGCUUCUCGAGAUACUCGUUUUGCAGCUCGAAAUUGCCAAAUAUGGCUGCGUUUGGGAGUGGCAUUUGCAAGCCACUUUAAAUCCCCAAAGCUCUUUGGGCUAAUUUGUGGGUGUUUGGUAAAAAUUUCCAAACCCCAUUUGGGGAAUGCCAAGCAUUCCCAAGGCUGAAAGCCCAAGGCAGGUGGGGGGCUGCCUUGGGCUUUCAACCUUCUCGGCAUGCUGAGCUGAGCUUAAAUAAAAAAAUUUCCUUCCCAAAUUGUUCCCGUUGAUUUUUCGUUUUUCCCUUUUUACCUCGACUGUUUAUCUUCUUCUUCUUUCUUCUUCGUGAGCGGUUGCCGACGAAGGGCACGCAAUCGCCAGCGACCGUCAUGCCCGCCACACCACGACCUCCGCCGUGGCCGCGCGACCCUUCGGCGAGGGUAGCGUGACCCCGCUCGAGAGGUCGCCGCGAAGGUCGCGACCGCGACCCAUUUGGUCGCAGAUCUGGUCGCCGGCAGCGACCUUCGCGCUGUGACCAGAUGGGUCGCCGGUUGCGACCUUCAAGCGACCUUCGCGGAGGUUGCAACGCAAAUCUGCGUCGCCGGCCGUGCUUCAGGCGACCUCCGCGGAGGUCGCGACCUUUGCAACACCCAUCUGGUCGCGACCUUUGCGCUGCGACCAGAUGGGUCGCCGACCACGACCUUCGCGGAGGUCGCGACCUUCACGCGACGCAUCUGGUCGCAGAUUUGGUUGCGACCACGCCGGCCGCAACCUUCACGACCAGAUGGGUCGCCGGCGACCUCUGCGGCGCGGUGGGUCGCACGACGGCGUGGCGAGGGUCGCCGCGACCCUCGCUGAAUUUCCUAUCCUUGGCCGGCGGUGACCGGUGAAGCCCUUGGCUGGCGAAGCCUUGGCCGGCCAACGUUUUUUUUUUUUUUUAAUAAUAAAAGUAUUUUACAAAUUUAAUUUACCAAAACAUUAUUUUGCACAAAGAUAUUUCACAAUGGACUUUCACAAAUAAAUUUACCAAACACGCUUUGCAUUUUGAAAAACACCCUUAACUCAAAGGCCUUUACUUUUUCUCAAGGACUUUUCCCAAAAUCUUCCCAAACGCACCCUAUGUCCCUCAUGGUCCAUGCCUUUGCCCUCACCUCCUCUCCCUCCGGCUCGACCAUGACCCGCCUGAUCGUCUCAGCCACCGAGUCGCUCGAGAACGACCCGUUGAGCUCGUCCCUCAGCAGCUCAAACCCGACCCCUCUCUCUUCGAGCAGCCUCGCCAUCAACCCUUGGUCGGAAUUCGCCCCAGAAAACAGAAUCAGCGGCCGGCCUCGCCCGAGCGCCUCGAUGGCGGAGCUCCAACCGCAGUGGGUCACGAACCCUCCAACUGCUGCGUGAGCGAGAAUUUCGGCCUGAGGUGCCCAACCCAUCCACAAAUAACCUCGGCCCGAGACCCGACUUUCGAAGCCGGGAGGUAUAAUCUCCGGGCCGGGCCUCUGACCCACCACCCAAACGAACGGCAAACCCGACUUCUCGAUCCCUGCCGCAAGCUCCGGCAUCAUCUCCCGGCUGAUGUUAACCUCGGUGCCAAGCCCGACAUAGAAGACUGACUUCUCUUUCUUAUCGUCAAGCCAUCUUUUCAGCUCGACCCAUCUCUCGUCUCCCCUGCCGCAUUUGUGGCGGGGCGGUAAUAAGCCCACAGGGACCACAGGUUUUCCGUAAAGCUUCUGGAGUAGCCUCAGCGGAUCGGCCUCGAACUCGCUACAGCUCCUCACGGCCACGGACUUGGAACCCCGAAUCGACUCGCCAAACCUCUGAAAAUCUGAAGCUCCGGUGUCCAUGCAAUCCUGGUGAGUGACUAUCUCGUGGAGCCUGAACCUGACCUUGGACGGGUAAUCUAUCCACUUGGGAACGACGGUAAAGUCCUCCGGCCUUCUGCUCGGGCCAUCGAUCAAGACGGAAGGUGGUCCGAGGAAAGCGAGAGAAGUAGCACUGAAUACACCAAAGAAUGCCGAGUUCACACCCAGUCGGCUCGCAACUUGGGGCAACCAGUGCGACGCAAAGUCGUGGAUUAUCCAGUCCACGCCAGAGCGUUGAAGAAACUCGUCAACAGCUGGCUCGAGCAUAUCGUAGGCCUUUUUGAGGUACGGGACCUUGUUGUUCGGCAGCUCGGCCGUCGACUCAGCCGAGUCCGGGAGGCCAUGGACACGAGGCAAGGGAAGCUCAACGAGGGUUAUUGAGGGAGGGAGGUCUGUGGGGAGCUUUUGGAGGUUUUUGGGGUGGAGAUGAAGGAGACGCGAUGACCCUUUUGAGCUAAGAAGGUGGCGACAUCGAGGAAUGGCAUGAGGUGGCCGUAAGCAAGCCAUGGGAACAUCGCUAUGUGAAGCUUCUUCUCUUCGUUUUCCAUGGCAGUGGCUAUGAACACUAUUUCAUUUGACGGGUGUGGUGGUAAUGUGACUAGCGAGUGAACUCCAAUGCAAUGGAGAAUGAGCUUUCUCUUCAUAUAUAUACAGGAACUACGUAUGGUGCUUUAAAAUUCUAAUUAAUAUCAGCAUAAAUUAACUUGCAUUUAGAUGUCUAUAACUUAUUACACGAGACUAAAGACUCCAUUCGUUUUGUGGAAAAGGUUUUUCAAGAAAAAAAAUUUCCGGAUUUUUCGAUGUUUGUUUCAUGGGAAAAAAAACUAUAUACAUAAUCCUACAUGUCAAUAUCUGAUUUUUUUUUUUAAGGCAAGAAAUGAGUUGAGUUAAAAACGAUAUGUGAGUUAUGCAAUAUUAGUAAAGUCAAAAGUAGAGGUGGCUGCAGCCAAGUUAGCUAAUUAUUAUCUUUGGGACUUCGUAUCUUCUCUUCAUGUGCAUUGACUUAUAUGAUUCACGGGAGAGAUGUUACUUCUUAUUCUGUUAAAGUUUUUGAUGUACCAAAACAAAUAUCACACGAGAUAAACUAUCGAGAAACAAAUUAUGACCAGCUGAAAAGAUUUAGGUACUUUACUUUCCAAUUGAGGAGGAAAUGUCAUUAGUAUAAAUUGAGUGUUAUAUUUCUAUUGAGAUAAACUAUCUAAGUCAAGUAGAGUGAAUUUAGAGUUUGUCAUUCCUAAGUAAUUGGAUUUUACGAAUGAAUGGUGGAUAGAACUAAUAUUAUAUAGUGCGUAAAUUUGUAUAAUUUUUUUUAAAAAUUUUUUAGGCCCUGUUUAAUAAUCGGUCAAGAAGUGACUAUUUCUAUUCUUUUGUUAUUCUGAACAAAAAAGAAACAUAAAUCUAUUUGUUAAUGUCAACUAAUUUUUUUGUCAUUUGAAAUAAAUUUGGAAUCGAAUUAAGAAAUUAAAAAAAAUGCUUCUUUAUUCUUAGAAACAAUUCAAGAAUCAAGUAAUUUUCUUUCUUUUCUUCCGUUUCUUUUAUUCUUUUCUUUUUCUUAUUCCCCCUCUGCAAUGUGGUGGCUGGGCUUCCUUGAGGCUAGCGAGGUAAUCGAUUCUCGUUUGGUCAAAAAUCAGCUAGAGGAAGAAGAAGAGGAGAAGGAGGAAAAAAAGAAAAGAAAAAAGAGGAGAAAAUAUAAUAAAAUUAUUAAAAAAUUAAAAAAUUAUAGGUUGCAAAAAAUUUGAAGAUUGUACCAAAUACAUUUUUAUUCCGGAAAAAAAAAUUUCAUAUAGUUACUAAAGACUUUCAAAUACUCAAAAACUUAUCCUAGAAACAAAAUAAAAAAUAUAUAUAUAUUUUUGAGUAGAAAUUAUUUUCAUAAACAGAAUGAUUACUAAAUAGGUCUUUAGUUGGAACUUGAGGUGAAUCUUAUGAACUUUGGAAAAAUUAAUUUACUUGAUCUAAUAAAGUCGCUCUACACCUUAAAUGAUCCGGACCUGUUUCGAUGGAGCCGAGUACUUAUGUGUAGGGGUGUCAGUAACCAAACCGGAAACCGAACCGAACCGAAAAUCGAACCGAACCGAACCAAAAAAUUCGGUUUUUUCGGUUCAGUUUUCAUUAAAAACCGAAAUUUUUCAGUUCGGUUCGGUUUUUAUCGGUUAACCGAAUUGAACCGAACCGAGAAACCGAAAAAUAGAACCAAUAACCACUAAGCAUUAACCAAACCGGCAAAAGGGCCAACCCUAUUUCUUAUUCUCUCCCAUCUCCUCUCAUCUUGAAGGUGCGACGGCGACGGCGACGGCGACGGCGACUGUGACUGUGACGGCGACGGCGACAAGGACUGCGACGGCGGCAGGGACGGCGACCGAUUGAGGGACCGGUUGUUCCGCCACGCCCUUUUCUCUUCUUCUUCUCCUUCUUCGUCGGCAGCGGCGCGCCGGCGACUCGUGGAGCUGUGUGCUGUGCUGGGUCGAGCAACGGCGCUUCGGAGACUGACCCUUUUUGUCCUCACGACACCGCUCUACUACGUCAAUGCCCCUCCUCACAUGGGCACUGGGCAGCGCCUACACCACCAUUGCCGCUAAUCCCAUCGCUCGCUUUCAGGUUUGUCUUCAAACAGUUGAGGUUAAUUGUUUUGAUGUUAUCGUAUUGCGCAACAUGUAAAUGGAGCGAGACUCGGACUGGGAAGUUGCAGGGCUGCUAAUUGUAUAUUGCGUGUGGUUUACCGGAUAAUUAAUGAUUUUUUGCUGAAGAACCCUUUUUGCAUUGUCGGUGUUAUGUAACACAGACUACUAAUAGAUCCAACAUAAAUAUUGCACCAAGUUUCAAAGUGAUCAAAUGCUUGCAGUGGUUGACUUCAAGGUUGAUUUCAUGUUUAGAAGGUGCAAAGUAACGCAGAUUCUUGCUAUUUUGUAUGGUGUUAGUGUUCUGGCUUUGGGUUACAGAUUCUUAAUUUGACCUCCUCUUUUUUGCCGUGUUUGGCUUAAAUUAUCUCUCUAUUCCUAAUAUAGUUAUGUUUGCCUUUCUGAAAAGGGUGUCCUGACUUUUUUUUGUGUGGAUUCCUGAUUCUUUUCAUCUGUUUUUCUUUUUCCCUUUGUCUCUUUAUCUGUGUUUGGCUUAAACAAUUAUUCUUUUUCACAAAAGUAUCAAGUUCGACAAUUGGAAAAGGGUUCCAACUUCUCAUUGUAGAUUCUUGACUCUUUUCGUCUGUUUCCUAUUUCUUUUCUAUACGAACUUGAAUUCUACCAUCUUCCAUAGAUAGCAUCUAAUGCAGCUAAAAGUUUUGGGCCCUGGAUCUAUCUCUGUUAUGUGUCCUUGCCUUCUUCAGAGGGAAUUUAUCUAUAAUUAUGCAUCUUAUGUAAAAAUGGUUGCUCCUUUGAGGUUUAUAAAUAUAUUAAUGUUCCUUUAUAUUGAUGCAGUGUCAUUGAAGCUCUCAAGGUGGAUAGUUUGCAGAAACUUUGCUCAUCAUUGGAGCCCAUACUUCGGCGUGUCGUAAGAUAAAUUUGGCAGCCGCAUGCUAUUCAUUUAUUGUGUUUCCAUGUUCUUUUCUCUUGGUUAAUGGAAGAGUAGUAAAAUUGAUUGAUGAAGAAACUAGAGAACAAUGGUUAUCAUGAUUUGUGGGAGUGAAUGAUAUUCUGAUUCUAUAUGUAUCACUGUCUCCUUAAAUUGGCUUGAGAGCCUUGAGAAGUGAAAAUCUCAUGUAUAGUGUAGUAUGUUUGCGUUUAGGGUGACUAUGCAUUAGCAAUAUCAUCUUUGAUUUUGCCAAAUAUCAUGUAGUGACUAUGAUAGUUUAGUUUACACUUUUAAUUUGGAACUGAGGGAAUGGAUCAUGAUUUUGCCUGCAUAACGAUAUAAUGUUCCUCAGAAUUGGUCAUAAAGGAAUUUGCUAUGUUUGAAGUUUUUAACGUAGCUUAAGAACUAACUUUCUGAAAUAUUGACCAGGUUAGUGAAGAAGUGGAGCGAGCUUUAGCAAAAUUGGGCCCCUUCAAAAUUACUGGGAGGUAUGCUAUUUUUUAGCUAGGUGGAACCAUAGUGAUGAAAUUUUUGUAUUGGCUUGACGCUCUGAGUUGUGAAUCUGGUUUGCUUGAGAAGAUACUCAUUAGCUCUGUAGGGGCAGGUAUGAAUUGCCUGAAGGUUAAGCUGGAAACAUGUUUGUGCAUAUGGUUCUUCCAUGGUUUAUUUAUUUAUAUGGUUGACCUCGCUUAGUGGGAUAAAGCUUAGUUGUUGUUGUUAUUUUUUGUUUGUUUGCUUGUUUGUUUAUUCAUACUUGACUAUACAAGUUAUUGCAAACGAUUUGUUAUUGCGUCAUUAGUAGAGAAUUCCCACGAUUCUUAUAAUAGUUAACCAUCAUUACAUAAGACUUGGGGUAAACAUGAACUGGGUAAUGCAUAUUUCAUGCUUUGUUUCAAGAUAAUAACAGUAGGAGAGCAAGCUCUAGAAUUUAAAUUUUGUUUUUAUAUAUUCUCAUGGCUUUUCUUAAUCUAAUUUUCUGAUGACUUUAGACAACUUUUCAAACUUGUGAAUUUAAAAAGGGUUUCUUCUUGCUUGACUUCUCUUCGAAGAGAAGACAUAGAUGUUCGUUUCUUGAAUAUAGCGCAAAAACUAGAGAGAACGUCAAUUAAUGCUUCAAAGAGCUUAUACAGAAGGUAAGCCAUCCCGAAAAAAAAAAAAAGAAAAAAAAAAAACCGAAACCCAAAAUUUGAAAACCGAAAAACCGAACCGAAUUCGGUUCGGUUCGGGACUUAUUCGGUUCGGUUCGGAAAUUUUCUCUAACGGUUCGGUUCGGUUCGGUUUUUCAAAAAAACCGAACCGAACCGUUUACACCCCCUACUUAUGUGGGCAUGAUUUACAGAGGAUCGUAUGUUCCAAUGUUUGGCCCCAAUGCAUGAUGCAUGCCACCGACGGUGUACCACUACAGUAGCUUUCAUAAAUUCUGAGAAAAUAUUGGUUGCUUCUAACGUGCAAAUUCAAUUCAGUUCUUUACCAAAAAAAGAAAAUUCAAUAGGAAGGGCCAUAAGGGUAUGACACGUGUCCAACUGCCCAAAUUUCAGACUGUUUCUUCUCUCUCUCUUCAUUCCAGCACACAUCUUCGGCUUCCCCUUCGACCCCUUUCGCGGUCUUCGUGGGGCCGCAGCACUCGUCGUUGAGGAAGUCAGGGACGGAGCUCGUCGCAACGGGCCCAGCGGCCGCAUGGAAGAAGGGCUUUAAAGGGACCCACACGCGGCGGCCGGCGAGGGGGUUGGCAAGUGCACGUCCACGUUGCACGCAGCGCACAGGGCGGCGGCGUCAACCCUGCACGCGAAGGCUACCAGCGUGCACUUGCAUGCCUCGCACAUCCACGCGCGCUUGUGGCGGGAGGCAAGCUUGUUGGCGCCAUGGACGCUGGUGUUGUAGGGCCGGCAGAGGAAAGCCACAUAGGCCUUAUAGAACACUAUGGCCGCGGUGGACCUGCAGUUGUCGCACGCCUUGGUGCUAGCCCGCCGCCAUCUUCCGAACUCUUAGGUUGCACAUGACAAAAUUUCUGAAACAGAAAUUGAUUUCUGGCCAGAAAUUAGUUUUUCAAUUUCUAUUCCCCGAACAAGUUUCUGAGCAAAGAAACCCGUUUGAUAACGAUUCAAAAUUUUUAUUUCUGAAACAGAAAUCCGUUUGAUAACAGAAUAAAAUUUCUAUUUCUAUUAAUAGAAAUUGAUUAGAUAUCAACAUAGAAAAUCCUCUAAUACAAAAUAAUAGUCGAAAUAAUACUAAAACAACAUAGGAAAUCCUCAAAUACAAAAUAAUAGUCAAAAUAAUACUAAUACAUUAUAAAAGUUGAAAAUACAAUUUCAUGGAAUUUCCGGUAUAUUAUUAUCCCUUGUCAUUUUAUUGGCAAUGGUUUUCCUAAGCGUAUUUAUUUGGUUUUUCUCAUCGGUUAAUGUAUCAUUUGCAAGUUUAUCUUGCGCAGGUUCAGACAAGUAUUGCGGAAGCAUAAAUAUGGAUGCCAUCAAUGGCGCCUAUAUAGCCCUGUCAUUUUAUCAAACACUAGUAUUAUACAAGAUUAUCAACAAAAUAAAAUUGAUGGUGUAAAGGAAUAUAUGAGAAUUCUACCUUGAAGUAAUGUUUAUGGUCAGGAACUAAUCGGGGGGAAGGUCGGUUUAUUUUGAUUCUCAAAUUGAAUCAAUCCAGUUGCUCAUCCCUAAUUUCUUUAUUUUUGCUCAAUGAACCUUUAAUGGCCCUUGCAUAACAAAGAGAGAGAUUCUCUUUAAUCUCUUGUCUUCGAAUUAAAAUUCAAGAUUGUGUAACAAUCUAAUUAUUUUGAUUUUGCAAGAAUUUUGAAUCCGUAAAGAAACAAGGUUAAAUUUCUAGGCACGUUUUUUCUUCAUUUAUUACGUAAAAACUUUUUCUUCAACUGGCCAUGCGUGCACCAUUUCUAGGAGGAAAUAGCCACAUUGUUUUUAAGUAAGCAUUUAAGAACUUUGGUCGUUUUUGAAAGUUAGGGACCCAUUCGAUUGUCUUUCAUCCUAAAGAGGAAGUUAUAAAAAAAAAUGAAAAAAAAAAACACGAGCAAAAUAAGAAUAAGAAAAUUAGCAAUAAUUUGUGAAGUUGUGGUUAUGAGUGAAUUAAGUUAGCAAGAAAGCGCAAUGCUCUUUUAUAUGGUUUGAUUUUAGCUUCUGAUUUCUAUUUCAGAAACUGAAAAGUUAAAAAUUUUAGCUUCUGAUUUCUUCAAUUUCUCUAUUUCUGGAAUAGAAAUCUGUUUCAGAAAUAGAGAAAUCAAAUUGCGUUACUAAACGGAUUUCUGUUCCAAACCUGUUUCGGGGAACAGAGAAACAGAGAAAUCGAGAAAUAGAAAUUUUGUCAUGCGCGCCCUUAGUUGCUGCAGUUGCAUCGAAACCCAUCGUCCGCCGUUGCCAAAUGACACCGCUGGAAUUGCCGAACAACUGAGCGUGCAGAGGAAAGAGAAGAAAGAGUGUGAAAUUUGGACCCGCUUGUGACACGUGUCCCAUCCUUAUGGCUCAUCUUAUUUAUUGUGUUGGCACAUUCGACAGAGCCAAUAUUUUCUCAUAAAUUCAACGCGGAUGCGUCCGCCCUCGACGCCUUUCCCUCUGCGUCCGUCGUGACCCACCCAAUCAUCCCUUCUCAAUGGCCCCCAUAGGAUACUUCAAUAAUUUUAAAUUAUUAAAAGCCAUAAUUAUUGUAACCAUUUUUCUACUGUCAUCAAUUUUCGUCACGGUUUCGUCUGCCAUUCAUAUAUAGCAGCAAUUUAAUGGUUGUACAACGUUUCUCAUUUAUUUCUUCAUAAAUUCUUCAUUAUUUUAUAACGACUAUAUAAUAACAUUUUUUGCCUAUAAAUUAUUACUCUGAACAUAUUUAUAAAGUAAUGUGGAUAUUAUCAAAACAUAUUCUUGUUUACAUAUCUUUAUUUCUCUUUUUUAUUAGGUUAUACAUGUUCUUUCUAAUAUUUAAUCUGGAAUAUAGAAUGCCUAUUGCAUAUUGAGAUGAUAAUCGCUAGAGGCUAUCGCAUAGAGUUUCGUACUCCAAGGAGGAAUUUUCUAUCAAGAUUCCUUUUCAAAUUCGCUUUACCAUCUAUCUAUUUAAUUACCAAUUUCAUUUUAAAGAUAAAGUGUGGACAGCCUUGUGGCUUCCUCAUCCUCUACUUAAGCCGCCUAAGUUGCCUUUCACAACCACCGCCACCGCCACCACCAUCGCCACCGUCACCGCCGUCAUCACCAUCGGUGGUGCUCAUUUCGCACCAAGGGUGGUGUUCAUUUUGCUAUGGACAGAGAAAGGGAGAGGGAGGAUAGUGGAAGACCAAUUUUGACCUUUGUAGUGAAGAAGUUGCUAUGGGACAAUGCACCAGGAAUCACGAAACGGGCUUGUGAUUUGGGCUUAACAAAUGACGGGCCGAUUAGGAACGAUAAGGCCCAAGUAAAUGGUGCUUGCUUUUGCAUACUAAAGGUUCUCAUUAGUAAGGGUUCAUCAUUUGCCUGAUCGGCCUUUUAUGAUAACUUGAGUAUUGGAUGUGAAGUCAUUUACAACUACAUGAUGAAAUGAUAGACAUUUGUGGGAUCGUGUAUAUAAAACUUCUUAAGUGCAUUCAUUGCUUAAUUAUCAUCGGCUGUUAAGAAUAUUGUAGUUCACAAUUUCACACAAUUAAUAUGUAGAAUGAAAAGUUGAUACAUCCUGAUUAACAAUGCACCAAAGACAAAAUUCAAGGAUCAACUUAAUCUUGAACUUGAGAUAUUAAAGUUCAAAACUAAAGUCACAAUUGAAAUUUCAAUACUUUUCUUUUCCUAAUGGUACAUUCAAUGCAUGUAGUUUUUUAAAUGCUUAAACAUGGAACAAUAUAUUCAUCUAAUGGCUUAAAUUUUUAACGGUAAAAGCCAAUAAAAACCCCAAAUUUUGUCCACUUUGGCAUAUUUACCCCAAACUUUUUUUUUGACAUAAAAAAUUCCACAUUUGUACCCAUACAACACAUUUAAACCCCAAACACGUUUUUUGUUACACCUAAAACCCCAAGCUUUUUUUGGUGACACAAAAAAAAAAAAACCCAAAUUUUUAUUUGUGUGACAUAAUUAUCCCAAAAAUUUGGUGUCAUAGAAAAAAGUUUAGGCUUUUAAUGUCCUAAUUUUUUUUUUUUGAGUAAAUGCGUCACACGGGUAAAAGUUUUAAAUUUUUGAUGUCACAAAAAAAAUUGAGAUAAAUGUGGGGAAAAUUAUCUAAAAAGUCUUAAACCUAUUACACUUUUGCUAAUUCAAUCUUAAAUCUUUUAACUUUGCCAAUUCAGUUCUAAAUUUUUUCACUUCUUAUCAAUCGAGUCUAUCCGACCAAUUUUAGCCAGAAAAUGCCGAUGUAGAGGCUGCCGGUGCCAUGUAGGAUCAUUGGUGCUGACAUUGACAAUUUUUAAUAACAUUUAAUAUUUUUUUGAAUUUUUAUUUUUUGAAUUUUUUCCUUUUUUUUUCUUUUAUUUCUUUUCUUUUUGGCUUUCUUCUUUGCCUUUUAUGGUAGCCGAUGGCCGGUUGUCCCCUAUGGCCAGCCAGCCAUCAGAAAAAGGCAAAGAAGAAAGCCAAAAAUAAAAUAAAAUAAGAAAAAAAUAAAAAAAGGGAAAAAAAUAUAAAAUAAAAUAAAAUAUUUUUAAAAAUUAUCCACGUCAGCGUCGGCAGUCCUACGUGGCACCACCGGCGUGCACGUCAGUAUUUUCCCGCCAAAAUUGGUUGGAUGAAUUCAAUUGGCAAGAUGUGAAAAUGUUUAGGACUGAAUUGGCAAAGUUAAAAAGUUUAUGAUUUAAUUGGAUAAGUUUAAGAUUUUUUGGACAAUUUUCCCGAUAAACGUGUCACGGUGGGAAAAUUUUGAGAUUUUUUGUCACAAAAAAGUUAUGAUAAAUGUGUCAUUCAGGGCAAAAUUUGGGAGUUUUUUUUAAUGACUUUUUUCCAAUUUUCAAUAGGGUUGGCAAUGAUCUCACUGAGUACCAUGGUAUUUCCUGUUGUAUGUUAAAUCAACAUUCUUAUAAAUAUAUUUUCCUCAUGAUAUCAAUUUAAGGUGUUACAUAUUCAUUUGAACUUUGAAGAGGUUAAUUGAGUGUUAUAUUCCAAAUUCCUACAUUUGCAUCACAACUUAAUUUACUUGGAUGAAUUUUGGAGAUUGAGACCAUUGCCCUAUGAAUGAAACCAUAUGUCAUUUCAUGGAUGAAGAGAUUGCUGUUGAGACUUGUAUUCACUUAUGAAAAUUGGGAUAAGUGUACCGGGAAUUAUAAAAGUUGUUACUAAAGUGUAAUCGAGUCUUAAAAUUUUCAAAUAAUGCAAUCAAGUUUUAAAAUUUAUCAACUUUGUGCAAUUAAGUCAUUCAAUUAAGUCCAUCCAACUUGUCAAAUAGAAAAAUAUUAUCAAGUUUUAGGAUUUGAUUUGAUGAUAAGUUCUAGAACGCGAUUGCAUCAAUUUGACAAAUUUUAUGAUUUGAUUGUACUAUUUGAAAAAUUUUAGAACUGAAUUAUACUUUCGUAAUAAGUAUUAAAACUUCAUAAAAUACUUGUUUCAUGAAAUUUGUGGAGCCGGAGGAGUCUCUUGCCAUGAAACCUGUUCAUCUGUACACAUUCACUUUUUCACAACAGAAAUGUUGGCUUAGAAAGGAAAAAAAGUCAACUUCGACAAGACGAAGCGAUGCAACUUGUGAAAAGAAACAAAAUCCUUGGAAAUUAAUAAUGGGUUUUGGAGACCAUGCUAGCACGAUUUCGCUACGGUUUCGCUGCCCAUUUCUUCUCCAGCAGCUCAUCUAAGACCGAAAUUAAUAAUGGAUUUUGGAGACCAUGCUAGCACGACUAAAUAGGUCCAAGUUUUGGCAAAAACAGCCAAAAAAUUGGCACAAAUCAAACAAAAUUCCCUUAACGCAAACCCUUAACCACCGUAAUUUUUGCUGCCUGAUUAGCCUCCAACGAAUACCGAUAUUCCGAAAUAACUCAUGGUUACUCUUCCUCAUGGCAGUGCGACUGCACCGGCCGAAGUGAAGCGGUGGGUGGCCAGAAUUUGCCAGGAAUCAACGAUUUUCCUCUUGACCCCAAUAUGGCCGAAUUACUGUUCAUAUUCAAAAGGCCUGAAAAAAUACACCAACAAUUGACAAAAACAAGGUAGAGGCACUAAAAUUACUUUGAUACCAAAUGUUAGACAUAACAAUCAAUUAUGGAAAAACAAGAUCAAAGUAAAACAGACCUUCCAGCCAUUGUUUUUUUUUGGUAAAGGACCUCCAGCCAUUGUUUGUAUUGUGUUUAUUAGAAAUUCACAGAGAUUCAACGAAAUUACAGGCAUACUCUAUUAACCCAGUCCCUUGACAUACUGAUGGGGUAUUGCAAAGUGAGAGUUUGCAUUAGACCCCGUGAUUACUCUUAAAAAAUGAACGAUUGUUUCUUUUAUAUAUCAUCUCCCAUUAAAACAAUUAUCAAAUAGAUGGUUGUUACAAAAAUGUGUGAAGUGUGGAAAAACUGCAUGUGAAAUAACCGCUACUUUAAAAAGAAAAUGUGGGUGUGAAAAUAAAGGAUCACAUUAUACAUAUCCUUGACCCAACACUCGGCUUUCGAUCUUGGAAGGGAUACUACCCCAGCCGGCCUUUCGGCCUACCACCCUUCGUAGGGCAAACUUGACUUUUCAAUCCCACGCGCCAACUCGUGCAUGGACUCUUUGACUGAGAGCCACCUCGGUGCCGAGAGCUACAUAGAAUACCGACUUCUCUUCCCUAUCAUCCAAUCAUUGCUUUAGCUCGCUCCAUCUUCCGUCUCCUUCGUGGCAUCUUUUAAUCUGGGGUGGCAAAAGCCCCACCGGAACCACAUGACUCGUGUAUAGCUUCUUGAGUGGACUCAAUGGCUCGGCCUCAAACUCGCUGCAGACCCUCACGGCAACGAUAUCGCGACCCUGUAUCAACCUACCUGACCUUUCCAAAACGGACGUGUCAGUGUCAGAGUCCACGAAAUCCUCUUCAUUAAUCACCUCAUGAAGCCUGUAUGCGACUUUGGUGGGGUAAGUAACCCACUCAGGGACGACUAUCAAGUCCUUCGCCGUCUUGGCCCUGGCCUGACCGUCGAUCAAAAAAGAUGGCAGGCCGGCGAAGACGAGGGUGUUAGCAUUGUAUAUGCUGAAGAACGCCGAUAUAACACCCAGUCAUCUUGCCUUUUAAAGUAACCAGAAAGAUAUGAAGUCUUGGAUCACCCAAUCGACAUUCGAGCUCGCAAGAAACUCGGCCACAGCAAGCUUGAGCAUGUUGUAUGCCUUCUUAAGGUAAGGCAUCAUGUUAUGCAGCAACUCGGAGGUCGACUUAGCUGAGUCGGGGAGGCCAUGGACGCGGGGCAAGGGAACCUCGACAAGGGUUAUGGAGAGAGGGAGGUUUCCGGGGAGCUUCUAGAGGUUUUUCGGGGUGGAGAUGAAGGAGACGCGAUGGCCCUUUCGAGCUAAGAAGGUGGCGACCUCGAGGAAGGGCAUGAGGUGGCCGUAAGCGAGCCAUGGGAACGUUGCAACGUGGAGCUUCUCUUUGUUUUCCGUGGCGGUGUGUGGAAGGAAGACGAAGUGGAAAGGGAGAGUUUAAAAGAGAAACCAGCUUACGGUGGAGCGUGCACGUGCCUCUACUCGGUUCACUUGAUCCAAAGGAUAAGGUCAGGCAUGAUGCCGGAAGAGAAUGAGAUUAGUUAACUUCGCUACACACGUGCGAUUUUGCAAGUAAAUGGCAUUCUAACAUCGGGGCGAGUGUUUCUCAUGCGCAAAAGAAGAAAGCAAAAGUUUUAGUUUUCCUUGGAAAUGUCUCAUUAAAUCUCGUUAAUUUGCUGAUCGGCCGAAAGAAGGGGUUAACCACUGGGGGUUCGCCCCAGUGGCCACCCUUCCAACAUAGAAGGGGGAGGUGAAGGGUUCAAAUCCCCACCUCCUCAGGAGGGGAUGGGGAUAGGGACGCGUAAGUUUGAGAGUGGGUUGCGACUCCCACGCCCUGCAAAAGGCAGGGCACAAGUCCGCAAGUGAGUGUAGAGUAGGAAUAGAGUAGGAUUGACCAAAAAAAAAAAAAAAGGGGUUGAUUUCGUGAUAACUUGAAUGUCUUAAAAAUAAGAACUCAGCUCUCUAGGAAUAUCAUGUUAGAAAUUAAACCAAAUUCAGCAUCUACAUUAAAGAAAAGUCAUAAUUACAGCAUUAUCUUUAAUAAGUCUAUUUGAAUUUGUAUUUCUCGAUGUAGUGAUUGUUUUUAGAGAGUGAUUGUUUUUAAAGAUACGAUGAGAUAUGAUGAUUAUUUUGUUAGUUUCCAGAUCUUGUCUAGAAUGUUUUCUAGAUCUUAUCCGGAAUGCUAACUUUAUCCAUUAGGAAGAGCAAAGAUUAUGUAACAAGUCUAUAAAUAGGGGAGUAUUAUAAUUGUAUUUUGUUAAGGUGAAAGAAAUCUACAAACCUAUCUAUCUUCUUCUCUUCCUUAUGUAAGUUGUGAGUGUUUCACCUUCAAAUUACUCCCAUCAUAUCGAUUGAUGUCCUAACAUGAGUAGUUUGAAAAUGCCUCGGUCUUUAGAUAUUUGAGCCGGUCUCUUGAUAUUCAUCUUCAAAGCAAAGCUUGCACCAAAAUCAAUUAUCGGAAAUACAAUGAUAUCCCCAAUAGGACGGAUAGAUCAGCACAUAGAUCAUUGCUGGAUAUUAAAAUGGGGACCGAUUAAUUAAAGAGUUAAUUUAGGGCGUGUCGUAUCAACAUGUAAUCGAAUCGAUUUUGAUGGACUUGGUGCUGCCCCUUAAUAAUAACAAUAAUUGAGCAUGGCGUCUCAAAUGAAUUUGGCCGAUUCUGGGACCACGAGUUCAACAACUCAAGGCUCUGCCUUUUCAAGUGCCCGAGCGAACUCUUCCAAAUAUUCGAAUUGCAACUUCACAUUUUCAAAUAUCUCCCUCAUGGCCCAUGCUCUCGCCCUCGGCUUCUCUCCCUCCGACUCCACCAUGACUCGCCUUAUCAUCCUGGCUACCGAGUUGCUCGUGAACGACCCGUCGAGCUUGUCCCUCAGCACUUCGAACCCGAGCCCUCUCUCUUCGAGCAGCUUCACCAUAAACCUUGAUCAGAAUUCGCCCCGUAAAAUAGAACCAAUGGCCAGCCUCGCCUGAGUACCUUAGGCUGCGUUUGUUUUCGUUUCUUUUUUCUGUUUUUAAACAACUUUUUUAUUUUUUUGUUCCUGGGAACAAAAAAGGAACAAAAACGCGUUUGUUUGCAUUUUUGUUCCAAAACUAUUUUUUUGUUCCCAGAAACACAUUUGGAACAUAAACAAGAAACAAAAAAAAAAUUGUUUCUUAUUUCUGGAACAAAAUUUAGAAACACUUCUCUCUUUUUUCUUCUUCUUUUUUCUUUCCGUUGAAGGUUGGCGACGCCGUCGAGGGCCGACGACCUCGCCGGAGCAUCGCCGGCCCCUGGUGAGGCCGCCGGCCCUCGUCGGCUGGUCGCCAGCCAUGGCUGAGGCCAGCGACCGGCCAAAAAAAGAAAAAAGAAAGAAAGGAAAAAUAAAUAAGAAAAUAAGAAAAAAAAUAGAAAAAAUAAAAUAAAAAUAUUAAAAAAUUAUACAAAUUUACCAAACAUGUUUCUAUUCAUUUUUUAUUUCCGGAACAAGUUUACCAAACGCAUUUUUUUGUUCAAAAAUUGUUCCCCGGAACAGAAACACUUUUUUUCUAUUUCUGUUUCCUAGAACAAUUUUUAAACAGAAACGUUACGAAACGUACCCUUAAUGACCGAGCUCCAGCCGUAGUGGGUCAAGAACACUCCGAUCCCCACGUGAGCGAGAAUUUCGGCCUGAGGUGCCCAACCCAUCCACAAAUAACCUCGGCCCGAAACCUAACUUUUGAACCCGGGAGGUAUAAUCUCCAGGCCGGGCCUUUGGACCACCACCCAAACGAAGGGUAAACCCAACUUCUCUGUCCCUGCCGCGAGCUCCGGCAUCAUCUCCCGGCAGAUGUUAACCUCGGUGCCAAGCCUGACCCAUCUAUCGUCUCCGCUGCCGCAUUUGAGGCGGGGUGGCAAUAAGCCCACCGGGACCACGGGUUUUCCGUAAAGCUCUGGAGUAGCCUCGGCGGAUCAGCCUCGAACUAGCCACAGCUCCUCAUGGCCAUGAGCUUGGAACCCCGAAUCAACUCUGAUCCUCUGAAAAUCUGGAACUCCGGUGUCCAUGCAAUCCUGGUGAAUGACCAUCUCGUGGAGCCUGAACCUGACCCUGGACGAGUAAUCUAUCCACUCAGGAACAACGGUCAAGUCCUCCGGCCUUUGGCUUGGGCCAUCGAUCAAGACGGAAGGUGGUCUGUGGAAAGCACAAGUAGUAAAACUGAAUACACUAAAGAAUGCUGAGUUCACAUCUAAUGGGCCUGCAACUAUUUGAGAAAACAAUGAAACUUUAUGCCAUUAUUUAGAAUUUUUCCUGACAUAUCAAAGUUCAGAUCAAAGUCAUGAUUUUGACUUAAAAAAAAAAAAACCAAAGUCAUAAUUGCAAUUUUGACACUUUUUUUUUCCUGGCAUUACGUCUAAUCCAUGUGGGUUUUAAAAUGCCUAAACACUAAUCCCAUGUUCAUCCAAUGACUUGAUUUCUUAAAACAAUCGAUAGUAAUUGUACUGAAUUAUACCGUGAUUUUUUAUAUUGUAUGUUAAAUCGACAUUCUUGUAUUAUAUAUGUUCAUGCAAAAUAUCAUAAAUUGAGGUGUUGGACAUUCAUUUGAACUUUUAAGAGAACGUGUAAGUGCUUUAUUCUAAAUGCAACACUCACAGCUUAAUUUAUUUGGAUGAAUCUCGGGAUCGGGACCAUCGCCCUAUGGAUGGAAAUCAUAUGUCGUUUUGUGGAACAAGAGGUGUGAAUCUCUUGCUAAGCUAAUUCCAAAUAAUAAUAAUAAUAAUAAUAAUAAUUUUAAGUCGAGUGACAAUUCUAACCUUAAUAUUUUUUUUUGUCUCGUAAAAAUCACAAACUUUUACCUUGUCCCAAAUCUUACUCCCAUCAUUAACUUUCUAUCUGAAGCAAUCUUGUUUCAAAAAAAAAAAAAAAAGUUCUAGUCUUGAGUUUGGUGAAUCAUGUCAACGGUGUCUCUUGACGGGUGGUGGCCUAUAGAUUACAGAUUACAACAAAAUGGCGAAAUCUAGCUAGAGAAAUUCAAUUUGGGGGUCUUUUUGACUUGCCGAUGAAGUGUCAGAGACCAUAAAGGUGAAGUGUAAGAGAAUGAAUAACUUCUCCAAGUUGUGGUUCCAAGAAGAAGACAAUAAAUGGUGCUUUAAAUCCAACCAGCAAGUGGAUAUGGAUUUAUUGCCAAGGACAAUCAAUGGUUCUAAAUUAAGGAAUCAGAUUUGGCAUUUAAGUGAAAAUUAGUAAUUUUUUUCAAAACAAAAAAAAAAUUAAGGUCAAAAUUGUCACUCGACCAAAAAUUAAUUUUUUUUUAUUAGGCCAACUGUUACCAUGAAAACUUUUAUUAGCAAUUUACUUUUAAACUCCAGAAGUGUUGAUUAAAAAGGAGAAAAAAAAAAAAGUUGACUUGGACAAGAUAAAGCUAUUCAACUUGCAAAAUAUAAAAUCUUUGAAAAUCCCAUUCAUAGCAAGAUCAGAUCACAAUACCCAAGAUGGGAUGGGCGGAAAUUCCGGCUAGCAAUAAAAUAACUACACGAUUCUGAUCCACAGAGCGUUCAGUUCCUCGCCGCCUACCAGGUGUGCCCCCCCCCCACCCCCCCCCAAAAAAAAAAAACCUCAUAAAUUUCGAUAAAAUUACAUAAAUAAUUAUUGAGUUUUGAUUCAAAAUACAAUGUUUUUUGUUUAAUUUAUUCGAUAUAAUUUUUUAAAUUUAAAUUUAAUGUGUAAUUUAUUCAAUGGGACUUGAACUUUUGAUAAAUGCUAAAUCUUGAACAAAUUUAAAUUUUAAGGAUAAUAUUAAACAUUGAGUCAAAAUUCUUUAAUCAUUUUUUUUUACAUUUUCCCUUUUACGACGUAUGCACUCUUGCAUCAAUGCUUUUGAUAAAUGUCAAGUAGGAUUUCUAUAAUAUCCAUUAUUCGUAAUUCAUUCAAAUUAUUGAUAGUGUAAAAAUUGUAUAGAACCUGAUGUGUUUUACUUGCGGGGCUCAACAUGCAUCUCUGAAAUUGGAUUCAUGAAGCAUCGAUGAUUGAGAAAAUAUUUUUUUUAACUUAAAAACAAUCUUUGCAUCGUUUAAGAAAGUGGGUUAGCGAAAAAUAUCUUCUUUGUUAAUAAAAAAUCUUCAAGUAUAGAUGCAAAUAUUUUUUAUUAACUAAUAUUUUUGCGCAGUAGAAAUUGUCUUUCUUUUAAGGAAAUAUUCCUCAAAUCAUGUAACUUGUCGCGUAAGACAAUAGGUUUAAUCUAAUUGAGCGAGCCUACUCCACAUUUGCUAGCAAGGAAAAAAAAAAAAAAGACAAACAAAUGGUUGGGUUCAUAGCGGUGCAAUGAACUCACUCUGCUACAUUUUAGUAGAAUAAUAGUUCAAGAAUGCCCGGUCUAGAUAUCAAAUUGCACCAAAAACAAUAAAAGCUUCACUGCAAAUUGUGGCCCAAAUUCAUCAACUCGUCUGCCAUCAUGAUCGGGACAGCUGCUAUAUUUACACCCGAAUUAGGAUGGUCGUUGAGAGUCGGGAGGUGUUCGGUGUGAAAACGGAAGGGCAUGCGCUGCCCGAAUAAAGCAGGAACUUAGAUGGACCCAGCAUUUACUACUUAGUGAUGUACAAUCGCAACCAGGACAAAAAAAGCACACUCAUACAGAAAAUUCUAGGUCGACGUAAUCAUCUCAUCAACUUGUGGCUCUGCCCUCUUCAAGCACUUGAGCGAACUCCUCUAGAUACUUGUGCUGCAGCUCCACAUUGCCGAAUAUCUCCCUCAUGGCCCAUGCGUUUGCCCUCACCUCCUCUCCCUCCGGCUCCACCAUGACCCGUCUUAUCGUCUUGGCUACUGAGUCGCCCAUGAACGACCCGUCUCGAUCAUUUCUUGGUACCUCUGACCCGACCCGCCUCUCGUCCAUCAGCCUUGCCACAAGUCCUUGGUCCGAGCUCCCCCCGGAAAACACGAUUAGCGCCCGACCCUGCCCGAGGGCCUCUAUGACUGAGCUCCACCCACAAUGCGUCAAGAACCCGCCGACCGACGGGUGGGCCAGGAUGUCCAGCUGAGGAGCCCAACCCACCCAGACGAAGCCUCGACCCAACACCCGGCUUUCGAAACCGGAGGGGAUACUGCCGGGGCCGGCCUUUCGGCCUACCACCCAGACGAAGGGCAAACCUGACUUUUCAAUUCCACAUGCCAACUGGUGCAUUAACUCUUGACUCAAAGCCACCUCAGUGCCGAGGGCGAUGUAGAACACCGACUUCUCUUCCCUGUCAUCCAACCAUUGCUUUAGCUCACUCCACCUCCCGUCUCCUUCGUGCCGGCUUUUAUUCUGGGGCGGCAAAAGCCCCAUCGGAACCACGGCUCUUCCGUAAAGCUUCUUAAGUAGACUCAAUGGCUCGGCCUCGAACUCACUACAGGUUCUUGUGGCCACGAUUUCACAACCCUGUAUCAACCUGCCAACCCUUUGUAAAACGGACAUGUUAGCGUCAGAGUCCACCAUAUCCUCUUCGUUAAUCACCUCGUGAAGCCUAAACGCGACUUUAGUGGGGUAAGUAACCCACGGGGGAACGACCGUCAAGUCCUCUGCCGCCUUGGCUCGGGCCCGACUGUCGAUCAAAAGGGAUGGCGGGCCGCAGAAGACGAGGGUGGUAGCACUAAAUAUGCUGAAGAACGCCGAUUUAACACCCAGUCGUCUCGCCUUUUGGGGUAACCAGAAAGACAUGAAGUCUUGGAUCACCCAGUCGACGUCUGAGUUCGCAAGGAACUCGGCAACAGCUGGCUCGAGCAUGUCGUAUGCCUUCUUAAGGUAAGGGACCAUGUUAUGCAGCAGCUCGGAGGUCGACUCGGCAGAGUCGGGGAGGCCAUGGACGCGAGGCAAGGGAAGCUCGACGAGGGUUAUCGAGGGAGGGAGGUUCGCGGGGAGCUUUUGGAGGUUUUUCGGGGUGGAGAUGAAGGAGAUGCGAUGACCCUUUUGAGCUAAGAAGGUGGCGACCUCGAGGAAGGGCAUGAGGUGGCCGUAAGCGAGCCAUGGGAACAUCGCAACGUGGAGCUUCUCUUUGUUUUCCAUGGCAGUGUGUGGAAGGAAGACGAAGUGGAGAGAGACUUUAAAAGAGAAACCGGCUAUCGGUGGAGCGCGCACGUGCCUCUACUAGGCGCACGUACCGGGAG
rnacentral:lncRNA from 1 species